GACGAGCCGAGCUAGAGGUGCCCCUACUGCAGGUAGUUAUUUUGUUGGAGUUCAUGUACAUAUAGUUAUUUAACUCGCCAGUGCGAGUAGUUUUGUAUUUUGGAUUUGAUAUAUGUAUAUGGAACUAAGUUUGUUUUAGUUGCUGGUUCUUUUGGAGCAGCUCUAUACUACUGUUUGUAGUAUUGUAUGUUUUACAGGCACAGCUAUCGCUUCGUAUACAGAAAAAAAAAUUUUGUAUACGGCGGAUUUGUCGGCGUGCCCGGGGAACGAGUAAUCCAGGGCGUGACAAGUGGGGGGUCGAAGAGAAAAAAAAAGAAAAAAGAACGAGCGAAAAAAAAUAAGAGGAAAAGAAUGCGGCGUUACCUUUUUUACAGUCGUAAGGAGCCGGGGAGGCAAUGGAGGAGGGUCGGAGUGGAAAAUUUUAAAAAAAGGUCGCGGCGCGGCCUCGGAGGGGUCAGAGGCGACGAAGGCGGGGGGGUGCACGGGCGAGAGUGAUGGUGCACCGGUC
rnacentral:lncRNA from 1 species